UGACUGUAGUGUAUGAUGAUCGAUAUUUGCUAGUGUACUGAUUCUGGUUUCUCCCUUUUGCAUUCUCAGCGUCACUCUCUCUUGAAACUUUUGCACCUAAGUUCAGCUAAAUCAAAAUUGAACAAUUAAAUAUUAUAUUGAUAGACAGAGACAUAUUUAAGAGUAAAUCGGCAUCGUCGUGUUCUAUCCACUUGUCAAUCGCAAAUUCGGAAACCCUAGCAGACCUGAUCUCACCUCCGUUGUUAUGGCGCCAAGGAAACCUCGCGACCGUGAAAUGCUAUUCGACUCCGUCAUCGCUCUCGUCUUCAUCCUCGUCGCUUGCGUCGACCUCUGCGACGGCGCCACCGUCGUCGACGUCUACCGCCUCAUCCAGUACGACAUGUCCGGCGUUCCCUUCGGAUCUCGACUAGCUAGUCUCAACCACCACGCCGCUUCUCUUCACUUCUCGCCUCACGCCGAUCUCUCUCGCACCGUCCUCCUCAUACCUCUUCGCGAACUUAACUUGUCCUUUGUCAAAGAAUAUAUUGCUGAAAGCAAACCUCUUGGGGGUUUAAUAUUUUUGCUGCCACGGAUGUUCAGUUUUGAAAACAAAGGUGGUAUGGGAAGUAAUCUUGAAGAUGGGAGUAAAGAACUGCUGAAGGAUACAUUGGCUGAACUUGAACAAGUACUUAUACAUACCAACUUACCUUAUCCUGUUUAUUUUGCUUUUGAGGACGACAACAUUGAUGCUGUGUUAACUGACAUAAAAAAGAAUGAUGCCACUGGUCAACCUGCUACUGCUACAACUGGCGGAUACAAAUUUGUUGUUUCAGCUCCUGAACCCAAGAAACUUGUAUCUCCACCCAUUACAAAUAUUCAGGGAUGGUUGGCAGGACUGAAGACAGAUGAUGAUGCUCAUCAAUUACCCACAAUUGUGAUAGUGGCAUCAUAUGACACUUUUGGGGCUGCUCCUGCAUUAUCAGCAGGAAGCGAUAGCAAUGGAAGUGGCAUUGUGGCUCUUCUUGAAGUAGCUAGGUUAUUUUCUCUAUUAUAUUCUAAUCCAAAGACGAGAGGACAAUACAAUCUGCUGUUUGGGCUCACUUCUGGUGGGCCUUACAACUACAAUGGAACCCGUAAGUGGCUUUGGAGCUUUGACCAACGUCUGCGUGAGAGCAUUGACUAUGCUAUUUGCUUAGAUAGUAUUGGUUCCUGGGAAAAUGAAUUGUGGAUUCAUGUGUCUAAGCCUCCAGAAAAUGCCUAUAUUAAGAAAAUUCUGGAUGAUUUUUCAAGUGUUGCAGAAGAAUUAGGCUUUACAGUGAAUCUGAAGCAUAAGAAAAUAAACAUUUCAAAUCCUCGAGUAGCUUGGGAGCAUGAACAAUUUUCAAGGCUGAGAGUUACUGCUGCCACUCUAUCUGAACUUUCUAUGGCACCUGAAUUAUUAGAACGAACUGGUGGUUUGGUUGACAGCAGGCAAUUUGUCAAUGAAGCUGCCAUUGUCAGAAGUGUGAAAUUAAUUGCUGAGAGUCUUGCGAGGCAUAUUUAUGGACAUCAAGGAAAGAACAUCCAGAUCUUUGCGGACAACAGUAACUUGGCUGUAAAUCCUUCUUAUAUUCGAUCAUGGUUAGAUGUUUUGUCCCAAACACCUCGUGUAGCUCCAUUUUUCUCAAAAGAUGAUCCUUUUGUCAUGGCACUGAAAAAGUUUUUUUUUUUUUUUUUGAAGUUAAAGGAUUACCCCCAAUAGGAUUGUUAUGGUGGUGGAUCAGCCGAGGGAAUGUUUGAAGCAAUAUUAGAAUGACUACAGUUUGGUUUUAUUGCUUCAUAAGGGAUUAUAUGUGCUCUGGGUUAUGUUCUACGUGCCAAUAUUGUGUGUAAUGUUCCUUUUGUCAUGGUUGAGGACUUGAGGGUGCUCACUCCUCAAUUCUCAUGAUACCUGGAGUUUCACUCUCGUGUACUUACUCAAGUAUUCUACAUGCAUGCAGGAAUUAGAGGAUCAUACUGAUGAGGUAAAUCUGCAACGAGAAGUGCUGGAUGGGAUGUUCACUUUCUAUGAUUCAACUAGGGCAAACCUGAAUAUAUAUCAGGUUGCCAGUGUCACAUUUGAUUUGCUGCUGCUUCUAGUAGUGGGAUCGUAUUUGAUUGUGCUCUUCAGUUUCUUGGUCAUCACAACAAAGGGUCUUGAUGAUCUAAUCAGCCUAUUUCGACGGCCUCCCUCUCGAAAAGUGAAAACUGCAUAGUGGCUGGCAGAAUUUUGGUAUGAGAUUUUGCCUAGUUAGUUCUGAAGUUUUAUUAAAAUCAAAUAGUAUCUUAGGAUGGAAGUUUCUAAUGAAAAGCUCUAGCGGAUUUCAUUGGUCAUUUGUUAAGUUGGUUGCUUUAGUGGUUAAAAACAGCACGAUGUUUUAUUUUGGCUGUGCUAAAUUAAUGAUGCCAAAAUUUUGAUAUAUCUUUGCCCGUCUAAUUUGGCACGCUUUUGUAGAGGAAAGAAUGAUGUUACUAUGCAUGCGCUGUGAACACACGGCUUAUCACUUGUUACUUGGUUUUUGCUCAAUAAAGGACC